rnacentral:sRNA from 2 species
CCUGAGGCACAGCCGUCGCUCGGGGAAGUCCGGUGAGAAUCCGGCGCUGUCCCGCAACUGUGAUUCGGCUUUCGCCGAUAAGCCAGGUCGCCGACGACGUGCUGCGCUCCAGUCCCCUUCGCGGAAAGGGAAAGGAGCCUU